UACAGAGGGGGCAAGCGUUAUUCGGAAUUACUGGGCGUAAAGGGCUCGUAGGCGGCCAACUAAGUCGGAUGUGAAAUCCCCAGGCUUAACCUGGGAACUGCAUCCGAUACUGGAUGGCUUGAAUCCGGGAGAGGGAUGCAGAAUUCCAGGUGUAGCGGUGAAAUGCGUAGAUAUCUGGAGGAACAUCAGUGGCGAAAGCGGCUUCCUGGACCAGCACCGACGUUCAGGCACGAAAGCGUGGGGAGCAAACAGG
rnacentral:rRNA from 1 species